UUGUAGCCAAUUAAGCAGACCGGGUUACUUUCCUCAUGGGGGCCCGGUGUGCAAUGGCUGCAGAAAGCAGACUCAUUGGAGGUGUAGUAACCUGUUGCUUGUACAGGUUCCCUUAAGGGACCUUAGAGACAGUU
ensembl:snoRNA SNORA70 Small nucleolar RNA SNORA70